rnacentral:rRNA from 1 species
AGCGAACGCUGGCGGCAGGCCUAACACAUGCAAGUCGAGCGGCCGUAGCAAUACGGCAGCGGCAGACGGGAGAGUAACACGUGGGAACGUGCCCUUUGGUUCGGAAUAACGCAGGGAAACUUGCGCUAAUACCGAAUAAGCCCUUACGGGGAAAGAUUUAUCGCCAUUGGAGCGGCCCGCGUCUGAUUAGCUAGUUGGUGGGUAACGGCUCACCAAGGCGACGAUCAGUAGCUGGUCUGAGAGGAUGAUCAGCCUCACUGGGACUGAGACACGGCCCAGACUCCUACGGGAGGCAGGCAGUGGGGAAUA